rnacentral:rRNA from 1 species
AGUGAACGCUGGCGGCAGGCCUAACACAUGCAAGUCGAACGGCAGCACAGUAAGAGCUUGCUCUUACGGGUGGCGAGUGGCGGACGGGUGAGGAAUACAUCGGAAUCUACUUUUUCGUGGGGGAUAACGUAGGGAAACUUACGCUAAUACCGCAUACGACCUACGGGUGAAAGCAGGGGAUCUUCGGACCUUGCGCGAUUGAAUGAGCCGAUGUCGGAUUAGCUAGUUGGCGGGGUAAAGGCCCACCAAGGCGACGAUCCGUAGCUGGUCUGAGAGGAUGAUCAGCCACACUGGAACUGAGACACGGUCCAGACUCCUACGGGAGGCAGCAGUGGGGAAUAUUGGACAAUGGGCGCAAGCCUGAUCCAGCCAUACCGCGUGGGUGAAGAAGGCCUUCGGGUUGUAAAGCCCUUUUGUUGGGAAAGAAAAGCAGCAGGUUAAUACCUCGCUGUUCUGACGGUACCCAAAGAAUAAGCACCGGCUAACUUCGUG